rnacentral:rRNA from 1 species
GCAACAGCUCAAAUUUGAAAUCUGGCCUCUUUCGGGGUCCGAGUUGUAAUUUGUAGAGGAUGUUUUGGGUACCGCGCUGGUUUAAAUUUCUUGGAACAGGACGUCACAGAGGGUGAGAAUCCCGUACGUGCCCGGUGGCCGCCCCCGUGUGAGGCUCCUUCGAC